CCAGACUGGUCUCAAACUCCUGACCUCAGGUGAUCUGCUAGCCUUGGCUUCCUAAAGUGCUAGGAUUACAGGCAUGAGCCACUGAGCCUGGCCAGCAAGGGAAUAACUUAAAAAGGACAUUCACCCUGUUAUACUACCACACUUCUAGUAAAGAAGGAAGGUAAGUUUCAUAGAGAUAUACAGGUUUGCAUGAGAUCUUGGAGACAUAAAUGAACUUAUUGUUCCAUUAACUCCUGUGGCCCCUAACCCUGUAACUAUUCCAACUUUGGUACUGUCAUCUACAAAUUUUUUUUCUGUGAUUAGUCUAUAUUUUGCUUUUUCUUCUGUUCCUCUACUGGGCAAGUCUAAAUGUUUUUUGCUUUUACUUAUGAAAAGGCCCAAUAUCUGUGGCAAAUAAUUCCUACAAAUAAUGCCCCCCUACUAUUUUCUCUAGUUAUUUUUAGGAAAACUUAGAGAAAUUUGUUCCACCAGAGGAAUCUACAAUUAAUCAAUGUGUAGAUGAUUGACUGGUAGCCUCAGAAACUAAGCAGCAACACAAAAUAGAUUAAAGCAUCUACUGUCAGCUGAAGACUGUAAAGUGUUACGGUCUAGGAGUCAAUCAACUUUGCAUAUCAAGCAACUUUCUAUAGAAAAACAAUUGAGACAAUUUUAGGGAUUAGUAGGGCAUUGAAAAUGAUGAAUCCCAACUUCUGCUGAGUGUGCAAAACCUUCCAUGAGCAAUUGCGUGAUAACUCUCCCUGGUCUUUAGAAUCUGAGGAGGCUUUUGAACAACUGAAAUUAGCUAUAACUUUUCCCCUAGUCUUGAGGAAUCUCAAUUUUGAAAACCUUUCCACUUGUUUUGUUAUGAAAAUAAAGGUGCUGCUAAUGAAAUAUUAGCUAAAAAGUUGGGAUUAAACUAUAAGCCAAUAGUUUAUUUAUCAGUUCUAGAAACCACUGCACUGAGAAUGCCUGGGUGUCCGCAAGAGGAAGAGGUAGCUAGCAUUCUUACUGAAAAAGCUCAAAGUCUUAUCUUGGGUCACAUGACUUAUUUGCAUGUCCCACAAGCUGUGACAGCAAUCUUACAAGUCCAUAAAGCCUAGCAUUUGUCAGUGUGCCAUUGAACUAACUGUGAACAAGCAUUAUUAUGUAGUCCUAACAUUGUACUUGGAAAGUGCAGUCUCCUAAACCCUACUACCCUCUUAUGAGAUUCUGAUUAAAUAGAUGAUCAUGACUGAACAAUGGUAAUGGAAGAUAUUAAGCCCUGGCCUGAUUUAUUAGACUUCCAGUUUCAAAAUGCAGAUUUGAGUCAUGGUCCUGGGCUAAGAAAGGAUGACUGAAGACUUUCUAUAGUGUGGUGACUUCUCAUGAAAUUUUGGAAGCUUAUGUUUUGUCUGGAAUUAAAUCAGCACAAGCAACCGAGUUAUCAGCAGUUACUAGAGCUCCAAUUCUUAGUUAUGAACUAGUAAAUUAUGUUUUACCUAAAGCUGCCUUUUUACAGAUUUUGCAUUCAGCCUAAAGGCUUUUCUGUACAUAGUGAACUGUAACGUAACUGGAUGUGUAAACAGACUAUAACCUACUCUUGGGACAAGAAGCCGAGUCUCAGCCCAUCACAGCAGCCAUACUUCAACCACUCACAGGUGACCAACUAUUCAAACCAUGUUCAAAUAAAGCAAAUGCCAAACUGUAACCAGUUUGGCUGCUUCUGCACCUCACUUCCAUUUUGUGUACAUCACUUUCCUUUUUCUGUCCAAAAAUCUUCUCCAGCCACACGGCAGCACCAGCGUCUCUCUGAACAUGUUCUGGUUCUGGGGACUGCCUGAUUCACAAACUGUCCUUUGCUCAAUUAAGCUCUGUUCAUUUGUCCAAAGGUUUUCUUUUAAAGGUGUCAGAAGUAGCAUCUGAAAUAGAGCUUCCAGUGACCCCCAGGAGCAUCAAGUAACCAAGCAAGGUACCUGCUGGCCCCAUUGUGUUCAUUGUUUUCUCACAGCAACUGGGAAUCAUGGAGACGAGAUCUCACUAGGUUACCCAGGCUGCUCUUGAACUCCUGGGUUCAAGAGAUCCACCCACCUCAGCCUCCCAAAGUCCUGGGAUUAGAGGUGUGAGCCACCGUGCCCGGCCCUGAUGCAUUUUCUGAAAGCUCUUCAGAAGCAAAUAAAUUGCUAAAGUAUUGUGUCUCCUAAAAUGUUCAUGAAAAGGAUAGAAAGGACCCUGAUAUCAUUUAAACUGGAUAAAGGAAGCUUUUCAUGAUGGACUAACUGAAGACAAUGAAACCCUUUAUGGUCUAGAACCUGGAGACUGAGACUUCUAAAAACAUCAGAAAAAGACUGCCCUGCCACCUACACUGCAGCAAUAGAAUCUUUGGUCCAUGGAGUCACUCAUGCUAAGUGUGACAUAACCAAACUGAAACUGUAUGGAAGCAGAUAGAUCCCAAAACAGACUAUGGUUGUUUUUUUGUGUUUUUUGUUUUGUUUUGUUUUUUUUCUCUCUUUCUCUCCUGAAAACAGGAGACUCCAGCAUGAGAAAGCCCCUUCUGGCCUGGUGUGGCAGCUCACGCCUGUAAUCCCAGCACUUUUUGCUUGAGCCCAGGAGUUCCAAACCAGCAUAAGCAACAGGGCAAAACCCCAUCUCUACUAA